GUCAAAUGCCCUAACCCCUACAUGCUCCUUAAUGUUCAUCUUAAUCCAAUGGUAGUCUACUUCAAAGCCUCUGCUCCAUGAAUAAGUAGUAAAAUAGUAAAGAAACGGCCUGGUUUGCAGCCCCAGGACCUGAACAGCCUCCCAGAGUCCAAGUACAGAGGCGUGAGGGCUGAGAUGGGGAGUGGUGUUAGUGUGAGGUCAGAGACCGGGCUAUGGGGGAGAUGAGAUUUCGUUUCUCGGUCACCAUCAUUUUUUUUUGUUUAGCUUUAGCAUGAGGGACUGACAGUAGGUGUGUGUGUCUGUGUGUUGGUGUUGAGGUGUGUGUGUGUUGGUGUUGAGGUGUGUGUGUGUGUGUGUGUGUGUGUGUGCGGGGGAGGGUGUUGCAAAGAAAUAAAUGAAUUGAGACCAAAAAGAAGAGCGAAAAGACAGAUGGAGAGACAGAGAAGGAGGCUAGAGAGGAACCACUGUGGUUGCCAUGCCGACAGACUCACACAAGCAGGUAAAUCUGGGCCAAGAAUGCAUCGUUGUUAUUGGUUGAAACAAAGAGUAUGGAUGGCCUUUGUAUGUUUGUGUGUUUUGUGUGCAUGUCUGUGUUUGAAUGUCUAUGUUUGUAUGUAUUGUUUGUGUUUCUGUGCGAGUGUAUGUGCGUGUUUGUGUGUGUGUGUGUUUGUCUGAGGAUGCUGAAAUCAAUCGUUAUCUCUUCGCCUCUACCGUGCUGUGUUGGGCCAUGUAUUUAUUCUCUCUCUCUCUCUCUCUCUCUCUCUCUCUCUCUCUCUCUCUCUCUCUCUCUCUCUCUCUCUCUCUCUCUCUCUCUCUCUCUCUCUCUCUCUCACUCUCACUCUCACUCUCACUCUCACUCUCUGUCUGUGUGUGUCUCUCUCUCGGUUUCAGCCUCUUAACGGCAGAAAAAAGAAUCACGGCAUGCCGACUUCAAACAGAGUUCACCGCGGCAACACUGGGGCCAUCGCCACGGCAACCGCGCUUGGCGAACGACUGCCGGGUGUUAAUAAGUCCUGACCUUCGGUCGAAGAGCCGAAGAAGGCUUCCAACAGUCCCAUGGGCUCUACCAGAAGGGGCGUGACUUCGCCGCUUCAUGGCUCCAAGAUCGGUUGGUGUAAUCCUUUUGGGAGCAACGAUAAUUGAAGACAGAUAUCUUGCAGCCCGGUGGCUCGGCCCUUUUAUGGACUUCCUGCUCCAACAAAGCUCACCUGUGGCUCGUUAAGCCAAUCGCAGCUCGGGGAUGAAAGGGAGAGGACCGUUUUUGGCCAGGAGGAAGUGCUGGUGUGAGGACUGAGAGCCGCGGGCCAGAGAAGAGUUAAGGGACUCUGAGAUGACCCAUUGGGACCAGGACUGUCCAAAGACCCCAAAGUUUUAGCCAACUUUUUUGGCGGACAAACUACUUUGAGAUGAUUCCUGGAUAAUGGACGACAGACAUUGAUUAAGGAUGGUUGACUUUGAAGAGGUAGUUGAAUUUCGUUGAGAUAGAAAUUAACUCAAACUGAUAACCCCGGCGGUGUUAAUGCUUUGCUCUCCCAGUUAUUAACGGCCACAAAUCUAAGCACUUUCCUCUGGAGAAGAACAUAAUCAAAUCUAGC
ensembl:lncRNA